UCCCCUUCAUUUAAGAUGUCUGUUGUUUUAGAAUAUAAAAAUGCAUGCUGUUUUUAAACACAACCUGAUACAUUUUCAGUCGAUAGAUUUUUCUCAUAGAAAUUACGGUAGAAUUUGAUUACUUUAUGGUUUCGAUCGAUUUAUGUUGGAUGCAAUGUGUACUUUACCCUGGUUUAAAUAGGUAUGACCAACACAUACAAGUCUAAAGGACAAUACAGGACAAAUAAAUAGCAACAAGAUUAAUACAGUGAACAAUGAACACACGAAACAAAAACAAUCAAUUACACGUUUUAGAAAAUAUAACUUUUCAUAAAAACCAGAAGUGAUUCGAGGUCUUCGAUCUAGUCCAAGGGAUCCAAGAAGAUGACUAUAUUAGUGCUGUUCUUAAUCUAAAUAUAUCUCCCCAAAAGUACUUUUUAAUGAAGCUGUGUUACUCUGAAUGUAAGCAGAUAUUUCGAGACCAAAUAAAUUUGACCCUAGCUGUUAAUGUCAUAAAUAUAUGUAUCACAAUUGGUCCGAGACCACAAUUGUUGUCCCUUGAUUUUCGUCCCUAGUGUUGACAGUGGGUUUAAAAGAACUAACAAUAAAAUCAUCAUUUUCCCCGAUAAUAGUAAAGUUUUGUUGAUAAUCAUGUUUAUCUCUAACUUUUUAAAGUUCUGACAAGUGCUAAAAAUAUGCUGAAAGAGUUCAUCCCUCAAAUUAUUAUGAAGUCAGCAUUCGAUUGAAAAAUGACGCUCAUCCUCAACUUUAUCAGCUGUACAAUACGAUUUUUUGC
rnacentral:lncRNA from 1 species